ensembl:lncRNA
GCUAAGAGAUAAAUCAGGCUAUGAACUCUAUAAAAAGACCUAAGCAACUGAGGGCCGAGUUUUGCCACUGCAAGCACCACUCACAUUUUCUUCAGGAAAUGUACAUUCUAGUUAGUGGUGCUUGCCGAAGGCAAAGCAUCACUUGUAUUAUCUCACAUACUUAUUAGUGGUGCUUGCCGAAGGCAAAGCAUCACUAUUACUAUGCUCCAUACUUAUUAUUCUUCUUUUUAUUCUUAUUCUUUUUCUUCCGUACAAAUUUCGGCGCGUAACUAGUCCCGCAGUUUUUGUCACAGACCCGCAAAAGUGGUGUCAAAUCGUGCGGCCUAUUCGGGAAUGGUGUGCUAUGACUUUUAUAAGCGAUCGGGCGUACGAUGUUCAGCACACCGGGCGAAAUAUCGCCCGAAAAAUCGCAUAGACAAUGCAUUGCGACCAACUUUGACGGAUCGUAGCUCCGAGACAGAAUUUCGCAGAAACAUGUGAAUCACCACAUUUGGAGAGUCUAUCAGGCUGUGCGAGAACAUACCCCGCAGUGGGGUAUAAGUUGUACCCUGAGGGCGCAAGAGCCCCCAAAGUUGCCCCAUAGACAUACUAUGGUGAGAGAUCGCCCAUGAAACAGCGCGUUUUUCCUACUAUGGUACUUUACCUAGUAGUUUUGCAUUGAACAUAACUCUGGAUCACAAUGUCAUAGAGACAUGGGGGGUGGGCUCAUUUUACUCAGACAACCAAUCAGUCUAUCAGGAUCAUUGUGAAGCAGUCAAGCCACUCCCUAGCAACCAUUUAGGGCCCCUUAGUAACAAGCUCCAUAGACUUCCAUUGAAAAAAAGAUCAAAUUAAUAUCUUUGGAAAGGAGUGUCAUAGAAACAUGAGGGUGGGCUCGUUUGACUCGGGGCAGCAAACGACCAAUCAGGAUUCACCGACAAGACUUCAUAGCCACGCCCUAGCAACCAUUUAGAGCACCCUAGCAACCCAAAGCAUAGAGGGUUAUCUUCAAAUCUAAAUGUCAUAAAGCCAUAAGGGUUGGUUUCUAUCAUUCAUACUGGCAAGCAGCCUUUGGAGUAUCUACAUUGGCAGCUGCCAGGCCACUCCUAGCAACCAGACAGAGUACCUUAGCAACCAUUUUGCAAAACCUAUAUCUCUGAAUCAGAACAUCGUAAAGACAUGGCGGUUGGCUCUUUUGACUCAUGCUAGCAAACUGGAAUUCCAACAUGCUAGUCAUGCUAGCAGUGAAUAGCUACAUGCUAAUAGUGAUUA